UUACUUCCUUGCCUGCCCCGACCACCUGAAGGGUCUUCUACAGAUCCCUCCUCUGCAAAUAUGUUGCAUCUCCGCUGAAUGCCGGGGACUUCCAUUCCCGUUGCUACGGAUAAAGGGCAAGCAUGAUCACACUCCUCCUCAACACAGGACCUAUCAGCAGUCCAUGAGAAGGCAAAUCAGGAGUCUGCUGCUCUAGCUUUCCCGACCUCCAUGCUUCUCCCGGGAGAUGGGCGUGUUGUUUAGGAACAAGACUCCAACAUUGCUCUGUUUUAUUUGUGAUCCCUGGACACCCUCCACCCCCCAAUAAAAGAACUCAAGGUCUUACCGAGGCCACAGGAAGAGCAUCAGAGAACUGGAGGCAUCCUUGCAGAAGCCAUCUUUGAUGUCCAGGUCAGUCAGACCUCCAAACCCAGCUGACACUGGACUGCAACCUCAUCAGAGAUUCAAGGCUAGAACCACCCAGUCCCAUCCCGUCCCCCCCNNCCCCCUGCCCCCAGCCAACCCAUCAGGCAAAGCGGCUGCUAAACCAUAAAGUUUGGGGGAAGAUCAUUACAUAAUAAUAGGUUAACAAAAGAAGCCCCAUACUGGAGACCCAGAGUUCUAGGGUAGCUGAUUCACUUGGCAGGUGGGUCUGGCCUGUUCUACCCCUUGGUUCCUGA
ensembl:lincRNA Gm13605 predicted gene 13605